AUUGAACGCUGGCGGCAGGCCUAACACAUGCAAGUCGAACGAGUGGCGGACGGGUGCGUAAUGUCUGGGAAUCUGCCCGCUGGUGGGCGAUCACUACUGGAAACGGUAGCUAAUACCGCAUACCAUCGGAUUUGCCCAGAUGGGAUUAGCUAGUCGGUGGGGUAACGGCUCACCUAGGCGACGAUCCCUAGCUGAUCUGAGAGGAUGACCAGGAGCGCUGGAACAGAGACACGGUCCAGGGUCGUACGGGAGGCAGCAGUGGGGAAUAUUGCACGAUGGGCGCAAGCCGGAUGCUGCCAUGCCGCGUGUAUGAAGAGAGCCUUGGGGUUGUAAAGUACUUUAAGCGAGUAGGCGUUACACGCAGAAGAAGCACCGGCUGACUCCGUGCAGGCAGCCGCGGUAAUUC
rnacentral:rRNA from 1 species